rnacentral:rRNA from 1 species
GACGAACGCUGGCGGCGUGCCUAAUACAUGCAAGUCGAGCGAGACCUUUUAAAAGCUUGCUUUUGAAAGGUUAGCGGCGGACGGGUGAGUAACACGUGGGCAACCUGCCCUAUAGUUUGGGAUAACUCCGGGAAACCGGGGCUAAUACCGGAUAAUACAAUUUAACUCCUGUUAGAUUGUUGAAAGAUGGUUUCGGCUAUCGCUAUAGGAUGGGCCCGCGGCGCAUUAGCUAGUUGGUAGGGUAACGGCCUACCAAGGCGACGAUGCGUAGCCGACCUGAGAGGGUGAUCGGCCACACUGGGACUGAGACACGGCCCAGACUCCUACGGGAGGCAGCAGUAGGGAAUCUUCCACAAUGGACGAAAGUCUGAUGGAGCAACGCCGCGUGAGUGAAGAAGGUUUUCGGAUCGUAAAACUCUGUUGUAAGGGAAGAACAAGUACAGUAGUAACUGGCUGUACCUUGACGGUACCUUAUUAGAAAGCCACGGCUAACUACGUGCA